AUUGAACGCUGGCGGCAUGCCUUACACAUGCAAGUCGAACGGCAGCACGGGUGCUUGCACCUGGUGGCGAGUGGCGAACGGGUGAGUAAUACAUCGGAACAUGUCCUGUAGUGGGGGAUAGCCCGGCGAAAGCCGGAUUAAUACCGCAUACGAUCUACGGAUGAAAGCGGGGGACCUUCGGGCCUCGCGCUAUAGGGUUGGCCGAUGGCUGAUUAGCUAGUUGGUGGGGUAAAGGCCUACCAAGGCGACGAUCAGUAGAUGGUCUGAGAGGACGACCAGCCACACUGGGACUGAGACACGGCCCAGACUCCUACGGGAGGCAGCAGUGGGGAAUUUUGGACAAUGGGCGAAAGCCUGAUCCAGCAAUGCCGCGUGUGUGAAGAAGGCCUUCGGGUUGUAAAGCACUUUUGUCCGGAAAGAAAUCCUUGGCUCUAAUACAGUCAGGGGAUGACGGUACCGGAAGAAUAAGCACCGGCUAACUACGUG
rnacentral:rRNA from 1 species